rnacentral:tRNA from 1 species
AGAAACUUAGGUUAACUCAUAAAACCAUGGGCCUUCAAAGCCCAAUAUAGCGGUUAAACUCCACUAGCUUCUG